GAGGUGGGACCCAGAGGCUGGAAAAGGAAGUCAUGUGCGUAUGAAAAGUGUGUCUUUCACUUCAGAGCAUGCUCGCUGAGGCUUGCUCGGCUCCCCCAAAAACCCAGCCUCUAAUUUUGAACCGGAGGGAGCCUCUGAGAGUCGGGAGAGAGAAACUUCAGACCAGAAGGUGUGAAAUUUGAGGAAGAAGGCGAACCCAUAGUCUGCAGUUUUGCUGGAGCUGAGCGGCGUGAUCAGAGGCCCUUUUGACUGCGCCGAGAGAGAGAGGAGUCAGGUCAGUGCAACUGUAUUCAUUUCUCUACCCCAACCCCAACCAAACCCCGCACUCCCCCCAGUUCCCAUCAACAGGCCAGCCGGCCCUGCACAUCGAACCCUGAUGAAUGGGGUCAAUCUGGGGGGCUGCCUGUAGAUUAGCCGGUGAGUCGGGCAAUAAAUGAUCUGAUACAGGCAUCAGACUGAAACACAUUUGGAGAACUGAGCACUACCGUGGCUAGAGCCCACGUCCAAUUGACUGUUUUCU